UCCAGACUCCUACGGGAGGCAGCAGUGGGGAAUAUUGCACAAUGGGGGAAACCCUGAUGCAGCGACGCCGCGUGAGUGAAGAAGUAUUUCGGUAUGUAAAGCUCUAUCAGCAGGGAAGAUAAUGACGGUACCUGACUAAGAAGCCCCGGCUAACUACGUGCCAGCAGCCGCGGUAAUACGUAGGGGGCAAGCGUUAUCCGGAUUUACUGGGUGUAAAGGGUGCGCAGGUGGCAGGGCAAGUCAGAUGUGAAAGCCCGGGGCUCAACCCCGGUAUUGCAUUUGAAACUGUCCGGCUAGAGUGCAGGAGAGGUAAGCGGAAUUCCUAGUGUAGCGGUGAAAUGCGUAGAUAUUAGGAGGAACACCAGUGGCGAAGGCGGCUUACUGGACUGUAACUGACGUUGAGGCUCGAAAGCGUGGGGAGCAAACAGGAUUAGAUACCCGUGUAGG
rnacentral:rRNA from 1 species